rnacentral:rRNA from 1 species
UGGGGAAUAUUGCACAAUGGGCGAAAGCCUGAUGCAGCAACGCCGCGUGAGGGAAGACGGUUUUCGGAUUGUAAACCUCUGUUUUCGGUGACGAACAAAUGACGGUAACCGAGUAGGAAGCCACGGCUAACUACGUGCCAGCAGCCGCGGUAAUACGUAGGUGGCAAGCGUUAUCCGGAAUUACUGGGUGUAAAGGGAGCGCAGGCGGGAUAGCAAGUCAGCUGUGAAAACUAUGGGCUCAACCCAUAAACUGCAGUUGAAACUGUCGGACUGGAGUGCAGGAGAGGUAAGCGGAAUUCCUAGUGUAGCGGUGAAAUGCGUAGAUAUUAGGAGGAACACCAGUGGCGAAGGCGGCUUACUGGACUGUCACUGACACUGGGGCACGAAAGCGUGGGGAGCAAACAGGAUUAGAUACCCUGGUAGU